GGCAGGUAACCACUCACCUGCAGAGCGAAGGACUCUGUCUUCACAACCCUCUUCAGAAGAACAAUGAGGCAGCUAACCACUCACCUGCAGAGCGAAGGACUCUGUCUUCACAACCCUCUUCAGAAGAACAAUGAGGCAGGUAACCACUCACCUGCAGAGCGAAGGACUCUGUCUUCACAACCCUCUUCAGAAGAACAAUGAGGCAGCUAACCACUCACCUGCAG